CUUUAAUAAAGGUACAGUUAAACAUCGAAUUAUACAUUUAUUACAUUAGUUUCCUGUGAUAUACAAUAUUCAUGAAAAAGGGGUUCAGGAACAUACAUUUACGUUUUAUAUAUAUAUAAAAGUAUUAUACAGUAUGUGAUAUUGCAAGAGGUAAUAUAAGCUCCUAUAAUUCGUUGUGAAUCAGGUUAGAGGGCGGUCAUCAACAGUGUUGGGCUCCUAUCCUCCAUCAGGGCUCAGUUGCCCUGUUGCAUGGCAACUGUUUCCACAGGAAUCCAUACACUAUAGCGAUAGAAGAAUGUGAACAAACACACUUGUAGCUUCGUUUCAUGUCAUUUCCAUGUCUAUAAAAACAGAUUUAAGGUAUCCUUUUUGCAUGUUUGUGUUGCUAAUAAGUGCAGUAUGUCGCCUGUACAAGAUUAAAACAAGUCACACAAGACAGUUUUGUAUUGCAAGCGUGUAUUGAAAUUUAUUGACAUGUGUGAUGUUAUUAAUGGCAUCACAACGUAAAAAACGCACACAGUAUCAACAAGGUCUAAUUCACAGAAACUAUAUUUUAAGCUGCCAAUAUCCAUUUAAACACGAAAUCAACCCUUGUUUCCCUCUGGAUAUCCCCGGUUCAUGUAUACUUUGCUUCGGUGCUGUACAUAACGAACGGUCUCGUCUGAUUACAAUACCUACUCUGAGAGCAGCCCGACAUCACAUGGUAUUAUGACUGUAAGUCAUUUUAUUAAUGCAUGGCGAUGUCAGCUCACUCCCAAGCUUAUAGCUCAACAAGCGUGUAGGUUACCAUCUGCUGCCUCCAAAAGGCAAGUCUGACGGAUCGAUAGGUUUGAUCAACUUCAGACUUAAAGACUGUUGCUGCCGUUUCUCCUCCUUACUGUAGUCCAGCUUUCUUUUUGCUGCAUCAUGCCCCCCCCUCUUCCCUUCCUCCCUGGCUCCCUCCCUCCCUCCCCUCAUAUCAAUACAAUACAUCUAUGUACAUCUCUACUUAUCACCAAUAUGCAGCCAGAAAUAUAUCAAGUGCAUUGAGAGAAAGGUAAGAAAAAAAGGAGAACAUUUAUUAAGGGAUAUGUAAAUAUUCACACAACUGAGGUUUUUUGUUUCAUGAAAAGCCUUCCUCUGAAGAUCGGAAAGUCAAUAUUGAACACUAGUUUGGUUGACGUUAUGUAUUUAUCUCUGACCAAGAUCGUUUAUGUGGGGGCGGAUACGGGCUUUUCAGGAAUUAAGUCACUGGAUAUGGAGAGAGGUAUUUGCUGGCUAUGGCUCGGGCUCCCUGCCGCCAUCUAGUGGCCACACAAAUAACACGCAGUUACAAAAAUGCCAAUGUGUUAUGGUAUAUUCCUAACAGGGCAAAUCUUAGGAAGAGUUAGAUUGUCUGCGUUUCCGAUCAUUUUUGUGUACUACAAAUAUUACUGGAUGCUUAACGUUGAGACUGAAUUUCUUCCUCAUCAUACAAUGAAUUUGGGCGAAUCAGUGACAACGAAGACAGCACAAAGAUAGAAUAAAGAAUCAGCCUUCUGUGCUGCCCCCUAGUGGUGCACGUUUGACAAAAGCCCCGAUGGCGCACGAUGCACAUUGACUUCGGUCUAGAAAUAAGUGAAGCUUAGCAAAAACAUCCUCAACUGAGGACUAUUCAGCUAUUCAGUAUCAAUGACUACACAUACAAAAAAGGAACAAUUCACCUAUCAUUGUGUAUGCAACCAAUGAUACCAACUGCCACCUCUUAAUCCAACCAGAACAAUAACUUAAGUACUUUAGAAUCUCGAUGAUUGUCUUAAAUCGUCCUUCAUUUUGUAUCACAAUCAUAUUUGGGUGGUGCAUUAUAAAAACCAAAAAAUCAAAUCAUGGGCCCAACUGAAUGUGGAUCUUCAGUUGGGGAAGGGGGAGGAAGGGAGAGAGAGGUGUACUCAGAGGAAAGAGGUAGGGGGAGGAAGGGAGAGAGAGGUGCACUCAGAGGGGAGAGAGAGAGGUAGGGGAGGAAGGGAGAGAGAGGUGCACUCAGAGGGGAGAGAGAGAGGGAGGAAGGGAGAGAGAGAGAGAGAAAGAGAGAGAGAGAGAGAGAGAGAGAGAGAGAGAGAGAGAGAGAGAGAGAGAGAGAGAGAGAGAGAGAGAGAGAGAGAGAGAGAGAGGUAUACUCAGAGGAAAGAGAGAGAGGGGGAGGAAGGAAGAGAGAGGUUUACUCAGAGGGAAGAGAGAGAGGGAGGAAGGGAGAGAGAGGGAGGAGGAAGGGAGAGAGAGAGGUGGGGAAGGGAGAGAGAGUGGUACUCAGGGAGAAGACGUGGAGGUCUAGCUGGACUCGGGGAUGGCGUCGUCCUCAUAGAGAUCCUCCAGCUCCCCGUCGAUGCUGCCCCUCCUGUGGACCACACAGCUCUCAUUACAUCAUGCGUGAAGGCCCUUCACCCUCAUUGGCUCAGCUACGCCUUAACGAGGCUGUAUUCACCCUCAUUGGUUCAGCUAUGUCUUAAGAAGGCUGUGUUCACCCUUGUUGGCUCAGCUACGCCUUAAUGAGGCUGUAUUCACC
ensembl:lncRNA